AGUGCGCGCAGGCGUGGGCAGCAGCGCAGCAGGCGCGCCAGGCAGUCGUCGGUAACGUGGCCGCAGCCCGAGAGCGUGACGGACGCCAGGUUGGGGCACCUGUGAGGAGAGUGCGGUGACCCGGGGCUCACUGGCUUGUUAAAGCUACCCAACCGCCCCAUGGGACCGAGUGGACUCAUUUACCGAGGAGGACUCGGGCCCUGCGAGGUCACUUCAUCCUGGCCCAGGUACUGCAGCUCCAAAUCGUGGGGAUUCUGUAAGAGCUUGCUACCUGUUGACUGAGGAGGCCCACGAGUUGAGAAGAACUAGCAAGAGUGGUACAAAACUGCAGGUCAUUGGGCUGGCCACCAGGUAUUCCCACCCACCAGAAGCUGGCUGUUGUACUCACCCGGAACCAUGGUGCACCACCACAGCGGCGAGGUCAUACAGGCAGCUCUCCGGGCCACUGUUCUCAGGCUACAGAACAAGGAAGAAGGAGCAGUGGUCAAUGACAUCAGUAUCUCGAUGACCUCUACCCUCUCCAUGUGAUGACAAUCUUACUGAAGAGCCAUUUUUUCACCAUGCUAAAAAGGGAAGAGGAGCACAGCAGUAACGCUGAUGGGAAGAAGGUGCUGACAGAUGGACUCACUGGGGUCACGGCAACAAUCGACAGUACAGGUGGCAAACAUUGUGUAAAAUACUCCAAAUCCAAGACACACAUUUAUAAAAGUCUGUAACAGGUGAAAGAAUAAACUCCAGCUGCCCUCAACACCUAGGGCAUGGAGACCUCCCUGACUGCUUCGUCAGGCCUACUGGGGCCCACACGUAUUUGAAGUUAACCGAGGAGCUCUACUUCCUUGGAAAUCCCCAUUGCUCCUCCAGCAGAGGUGGGCUGGACACUGCUCCUGGCAAAGCUGGCCGGGAAGAUGCAGCCCGUGGGACACUCCCCACCACCACUCUCACAGUCUGACUGACUGCGAAGCUUCACAGACCAGAAGGUUCAUUCCUCACAAGAAAAGGAAAACCCUGGUCUGAUACUACUGUUCUGAAAUUUAACAGUAAGUCUCCAUAUGCUAUUUCUUUCUUAAUUUCAAUAAAGAUGCCAUGUUUUGCUCAUUUGUCUUAAUAGAUGAUGAUAUGAUCUGAGUUUGAGGAAUGAUAAAUAAGUUACAGGAAUACAGGCACAUGUACAUUCAUUAGAUGCAGCUACGCUCCAAAGGACAUUCUAAAACACAUCCUUAUUAGUGAGGAAAUUCUGAAUUAAAAUCACUCAAAAUUUUUCUUGAUGUAAGAAAUAUUUUGCUUAAAAUUUAUCAGAAAGUUAUUUCUAUUUUCAAAAGGUCACUUUAAAAUUUUAUGUCUCAGGCAAAUUAAUCUAAAGGAAGUAAAAAUUAUGGUUAAACAACACAGACUUUUAAGGCCGCCAAUUCUCUCCCACCUUCUAAAAGUACCCAGUUCAUCCAAAGUAAAUAAUUAUUUUUUUCUUACAGAAUUUCCACAUGAAUUAUGUCUUUGAAACAUCAGAACUAGUGACAGUUGCUUCAAACCUCAAAAUGUUCUUCAGAACUGUGUGUCUCUCUCUUACAGUACUGGUAGCCACAAGAUGAAGAGACCAAUUCCAUACUCUAUAGUGUUCAACUAUUCCUUCACAAAUUCUGUGAAGUGGGGAAGGUAAACCACAAGCAUAGUAUAUAUGCUCUUUAUGACAAUGCCUAAGAGUUCAUUUUCAGUUGUAACCUAUAUAAAUAAGGCAUUUCACCUUUUAAAAAUGUAAGUUACUAAAUUUUAUCCUCAGUGACUCUCAAAAUGCAGAAUCUUCUAGAUCCAUGCUAUCUAAUAUAGUAGCCACUCACUCCAUGUGGCUAUUUAAAUUAAUUAAACUUGAAGUUUAAAAUUCAGUGUCUCAGUUGCACUAGCCACUUUUCAAGUAUGGCUAGUGUUACCAUAUUAGAGUGGAUGGAGAACAUUUCUGUCACUGCAGAAAGUUCUGCUGGACAGUGCUGCUCCACGGGGCAUGCGGAAUAGUCGAAAGUUAAGUAAAACACAAAUAUGAUCGUAGUUUCUAAAUUCCACUACAGAUUAAACCAAUGUUUGCAAAACACAAAAAUGAAUCUAGGUAAUGUUUUUCAACAUAGGAAAUGGGCUGUAAGGUAGAUUUUUCAUGGAGCCAAGCAGACAUGUAGACAGGUGGUCUGUGACACCUUUCAUCUGAUGAAGUGAUCAAUGGAAAGAAAAGAUUUUUUAACUGUAUAAAUGCAUGCAGGUUCUCAAAUGCCCUCUUUUCCCUUUGACUUAGUUCUGAUUAUUUCAGACUGAGAGGGUGAAGGACAUCACCACACCAAAGAGUGAUACUACAUACAUUCCUUCAGGAAUCUCAGACUUCAUGUUUAUUGUGAACAGUUUCAGAGAAAAUUAAAUAUUUUGGAUCUGUGUGUAUCUGUCUCUAAUCCUAGAUAGGACUCAUCAAAUUAGAAGAGAAGUACUCUGAAAAAGAGCCAAAAGAUGACAAACCAAGAAGUACUUAAACCUGAAGUACUUUAAUUGGUUUAGAUUUAAAGAAAUCAUUAUUCUUCCAGUAUUGGCUUUAUCAUCUAGUUAGUCAAUGAGACAUACAUAAUGUCUGUGGUUUUAACAAACACUACACAGUACUGCCCUCAAAGAAGUUAGGUUAUUUCUUUUCAGUAUGCAAUUUUCAAACAUUCUAUGGGCUUUACACUUAAGUUUGCUAAGGGACUCCUGCUUUGUGGAUGUUUUCACAAUACCUUCUACACAUCAACUGCCAAAAUAAAUUAGAUGGCGCUUAAUGAUUUGGUGUGAUGUACAGAGAUUUCACUUGAGUCAGCAGUCAUUCCAGAGCCAUGCUUCUAUCCACUGUAGCUUCAAAGGCAUGGCUAGCUGGGUUUCUGUUUAUUGCUUCAAUUUCGGGUCCAGUGAGUUUUAUCUAACUAUUUGACUAUACCAAUAAAAGUCUGUUCACAUAUAAAUAGUUUCAUUUCUUUAUGAUGACAAAGUAUUCAUAGCUCCUUGUAAUGUCAACUGAUAUUUAACUGCCCCUAACAAGCAAGGAAGAAACUAGGAUCCUGUGCCACUGUAUAGAUGCAAAGUGGACAAUAUGUUCAUUAAACCUAAUUUCCCUUAAAAAUGAUGCAUAAAUCAUAGUGCUUCCUAGUAGACCUCAUAAUACAUUUGACAGGGGUUUUCUAUUAUCAAAAGUAACUCUAUGAUGAUUUCACACCUUUUUCUGCCCUUUUCUUGUACCCUCAAAAUAAAUUGAGUAGCUUAUAAAUUGUUGGGUAAUAUUUUUUAAAGAGGCUCUUGGGACCUUGGAUAUGGUUUAUGACAAAUAUUAAAUAAAAUAAAUGCACAGCUAUGACCAUUAACUAUGGGCCAAGUUUUAGCUAUCCAAAGCCAAGGUUUAUUUUAUUAACAUUUCAAUCAUAUUAUAAACAUGAAGUUAUUAAACUCAUCAACAAAAACCCCACUCAAAAAUUCUAAAAGACUCCUCAACCCCAUUCUUAGGCCCUUCUUUUUCCAAAGGCCUAUUACUUACUUUUCCAAGUUCUGUAAGUGUUCUCUGACUUUCUGUACCAGUCCCAGCUUGGUGUCAUUAACCACAAAAUCAUCACAGCGAUAACUGCAAGGAAAAUAUUAAUCAAUGUGUGUAAAGAGCUUGAGGAAACCACAGUAAUGAAAUCACUAAAAGGUCUGGCUGUUGCCAAGAUGAUCACAUGGCUCUGCAGGCAGUUACUGCUGGUGGUAAGUUUAAAGAGGACCUGGAAUUCACAAUGGAAUGUUUUUCAAGAGUCUUUUUUAAAAGCCACGUAGGCAAUGAACAUGAGCUUCUUUUCACGUUUUUUACUCAAAAGCUCUUCAAUUCCUCCUUUGAAAAUGAAAUAAGCUGCUACAUGUGUUACAUUCUUUUUAGUGGUGCCUAAUACAUGGAAAAUGAAAUAAAAAGCACCGAGUCUUUUCAUGUAGCAUUAAGCCUAAAGCUUUAAGUUGACACUUCCCAACCCAAAUUAAUGGGGAAUUGGGGGAAGGAGAGAUUUAAGUGAAAAGCAGGGAAGAGGUAAUUAACCUGUAGGGAUAUCUGAAUAGAAAAACUAAAGUUAAAGCUGCACAUUUUAAACAUAAUUUAAUUAAAAUAGCUUGAAUUCAGAUGAGCUGAGAAGAAUGCUCUUUCACUCUGAGGCACUACAAAACAAAAGUAUAAAAUAGUGGCUAUAUCAUUCAGGCAACUGAUAAGUGCUUUGAAGAAAAAUAUUUAAGCUAUAUUUAAAAACCGAUACUCUGUGUGUUUUAUAAGUCAAAAAGCAAAUAAUGUAAGAAAUCACACAUAAUAUAAACUUUAACUUGUUCACAUUAGCAUUUAAUUUUUUCCUGGGAUAAGGCCAAUUUUAACAAAAACAAUUUACAAGCUGGCACUAAGAUAUUAUU
ensembl:lncRNA USP3-AS1 USP3 antisense RNA 1